GCUCAACCGGGGAGGGUCAUUGGAAACUGGGGAACUUGAGUGCAGAAGAGGAGAGUGGAAUUCCACGUGUAGCGGUGAAAUGCGUAGAGAUGUGGAGGAACACCAGUGGCGAGGGCGACUCUCUGGUCUGUAACUGACGCUGAGGCGCGAAAGCGUGGGGAGCGAACAGGAUUAGAUACCCUGGUAGUCCACGCCGUAAACGAUGAGUGCUAAGUGUUAGAGGGUUUCCGCCCUUUAGUGCUGCAGCAAACGCAUUAAGCACUCCGCCUGGGGAGUACGGUCGCAAGACUGAAACUCAAAGGAAUUGACGGGGGCCCGCACAAGCGGUGGAGCAUGUGGUUUAAUUCGAAGCAACGCGAAGAACCUUACCAGGUCUUGACAUCCUCUGACAACCCUAGAGAUAGGGCUUCCCCUUCGGGGGCAGAGUGACAGGUGGUGCAUGGUUGUCGUCAGCUCGUGUCGUGAGAUGUUGGGUUAAGUCCCGCAACGAGCGCAACCCUUGAUCUUAGUUGCCAGCAUUCAGUUGGGCACUCUAAGGUGACUGCCGGUGACAAACCGGAGGAAGGUGGGGAUGACGUCAAAUCAUCAUGCCCCUUAUGACCUGGGCUACACACGUGCUACAAUGGGCAGAACAAAG
rnacentral:rRNA from 1 species